UAGGGAAUCUUCCGCAAUGGACGCAAGUCUGACGGAGCAACGCCGCGUGAGUGAAGAAGGAUUUCGGUUCGUAAAACUCUGUUGUUAGAGAAGAACAGCGCAUAGAGUAACUGUUAUGCGUGUGACGGUAUCUAACCAGAAAGCCACGGCUAACUACGUGCCAGCAGCCGCGGUAAUACGUAGGUGGCAAGCGUUGUCCGGAUUUAUUGGGCGUAAAGCGAGCGCAGGCGGUCAAUUAAGUCUGAUGUGAAAGCCCCCGGCUCAACCGGGGAGGGUCAUUGGAAACUGGUUGACUUGAGUGCAGAAAAGGAGAGUGGAAUUCCAUGUGUAGCGGUGAAAUGCGUAGAUAUAUGGAGGAACACCGGUGGCGAAAGCGGCUCUCUGGUCUGUAACUGACGCUGAGGCUCGAAAGCGUGGGGAGCGAACAGG
rnacentral:rRNA from 1 species